rnacentral:rRNA from 1 species
CCCUUAGAUGUUCUGGGCCGCACGCGCGCUACACUGUUCGACGCAGCGAGUCUUAACCUUGACCGAAAGGUUUGGGUAAUCUUCAGCAAAGUCGAACGUGAUGGGGAUCGAUCAUUGCAAUUAUUGAUCGUGAACGAGGAAUUCCUAGUAAGUGCAAGUCAUCAGCUUGCGCUGAUUACGUCCCUGCCCUUUGUACACACCGCCCGUCGCUACUACCGAUUGAAUGGUUUAGUGAGAUCUCUGGAUUGACGCUGGCUAGGGGGCGACCCUUGGCCAGACGGUUGAGAAACUGCUCAAACUUGAUCAUUUAGAGGAAGUAAAAGUCGUAACA